CCUUACUGCUAUCGGGAUGAGACUAAGCCAUGCAAGUCGAGCGCUCUCAAGCUAUGUUGAGAGCGCGGCGAACGGCUCCGUAACGCGUAGUUAACCUACCCUCGGGAUGGGGAUAACCCCGGGAAACUGGGAUUAAUACCCACUAGAUGAUUAUACCUGGAAUGGCUUAUCAUCAAAAGAGUCUGGAAACAUGCUUCCAGCGUCGCCCGAGGAUGGGACUGCGUCUGAUCAGGUUGUUGGCGGGGUAACGGCCCACCAAGCCUAUAACCGGUACGGGCCCUGAGAGGGGGAGCCCGGAGAUGGAAACUGAGAAAAGGUUCCAGGCCCUACGGGGUGCAGCAGGCGCGAAACCUCCACAAUGCGCGAAAGCGUGAUGGGGUUAUCUCGAGUGCCGUCCGAUGAGGAUGGCUUUUCAUCGGUGUAAGGAUCCGAUGGAAUAAAGGGGGGGGCAAGACUGGUGUCAGCCGCCGCGGUAAUACCAGCCCCUUGAGUGGUAAGGACGAUUAUUUGGCCUAAAGCGUUCGUAGCCGGCUUAUCAAGUCUUUUGUUAAAUCCAACGAUUCAAUCGUUGGGCCGCAAAAGAUACUGUUAUGCUAGAGGACGGGAGAGGUCGACGGUAGUCCAGGGGUAGGGGUGAAAUCCUAUAAUCCUUGGAGGACCACCAGUGGCGAAGGCGGUCGACUAGAACGUGCCUGACGGUGAGGGACGAAAGCUGGGGGAGCGAACCGGAUUAGAUACCCGGGUAGUCCCAGCUGUAAACGAUGCGGGCUAGGUGUUGGGGCAGCCACGAGCUGCUCCAGUGCCGCAGAGAAGUUGUUAAGCCCGCCGCCUGGGGAGUACGGCCGCAAGGCUGAAACUUAAAGGAAUUGGCGGGGGAGCACCAAAAGGGGUGAGGGCUGCGGUUU
rnacentral:rRNA from 1 species